CGGCGGCGGUAGCCCCCGGGCUCGGACGUGGCAGCUCCUGUCGGCGCCUCGGAACUGCUCACUUCCGGCGCCGGGCUGGCAAGCCGUCGGGCCGUAACUCCGGAGGCUCCGGGCAGCAACGCGCUCGCCGUGCACUAAGGUUCCGUACCCGUCCGAGGGCCUGCCGGAGCCCCGCCCCUUACACUUGCAGAACGCGCGAGACCCACGGGGUGGGGCUUUGCUCGCGUGGCGACCCUGACCCUUGAGCUUUGGAAUCUGAAGUUCUAGUGCGUCUCCACCAGGUCUUCCCUUUUCCUGAGAUCCAUGAACGAAAGAGAAGGUUCCUACCUUUCCGAGGGAGGCCGGCCGAGUGUUCCUCACGAACACGGAGAGAGAGAAUUCGGCCCUGUGAGACAUGAGCCUGGGGGCAGCCGCGCAUAGUCUAGCCUUGUGACAUUAAGGAGGCAGGUGAGCCAGGAUAAAGUCCCCACACCUCUUGGCUUGCAGACAGAGCAGAAUGGCUUCCACAGAGAGGACCUGGACGUGAGCGCACGCCAUCAUCGGGGCCUCUGCGGCCCGCGCCUCCUGCUGGACAGCCAGGGCGGAGCAGCUCCCAUCCAGCACGGGCCUGGUCCUGCACCGUGGGGGGGUGGGGGGGGGUGGUGUUCCGGUUCUGCUUGGGGACAGAGGCACUUUAUAACAGUACCAAGAGAUGAGGCUGGGCAUCUAUUUCUCAUCAGAGAGGUCGGAGGCUGGUGUCCGUCCGAGUGGAACAGCACACGGGUCUCCCUUGCAGCCUGGGAGGGCCUGACUAGAGACGGCAAGGGAGGCAGGUGGGAAAUGGACACUUAGUCCCCCUGGGCCCGGAGCACAGAGACUUCUGGAAAGAUCUAGACAGGGCCAGAGAUGAGAGAGCCAGGUCAGAAGUGGGGCAUGAGGAGGUGAGCUGGGCCGGAGAGGGAGAUGGAGGAGGGCUUAGAGUCCCAGGCUGUCGCUUCGUCAGAGAAGAGCAGUGUGCAAGAGGUUAGACCGGGACCCGGCCGGGACAUGAAGCUCUAGCCUCUGUUUUCUACCUGCGGUAAAGCUACGGGGGCCAAACGUAUGCCUUCCAGGAAGGAGUCAGGACCCAGCUGCAAGGAGGGUUUCUGUGAGGUGGGGAGGGACAGAGAUCCUAAGCUCCUGGGGUGGGACCUCCAGCUGACCUCUCUCCUGCUCUGACCUUGGCUCAACUACGCCUUUGACCACGACCCCUGGUGUUGACGGUGCUCCCAGGCCAGUCGGGGAACCCUCGAUGAGGGGCAUCUCUUGGUUGGACUCCCCUGUGACCAGCUGUGACCCCGAGGGGCUUUUACUCCUUGGCCCAUGGUAACUGUUCACCUGACCUGACUACAAGACGGACCUGGCUGACUCCGAGUCCUCUCCUCCCAGGCCUGGCUCUUCCUGACCUAGUCUGCCCCUAGACCAGUGGGCCAGCAUAUGCUCCCCUGUGGCUGCUGGGACCCUGUGGCAGAUUGGGGCCCCUUGACCAACGGCGAUCCUUUGGCUGACCCAGUCUUUGUGACCACUUGUGACCCCCUAUAGCCCCCUGACUGGUUGUAGCCCUGGCCCUGACCCAGCUACCCCUGCCCGCCGAGUGAUUGUCACCCCUGACUGGUAGGAUCUCCUGACCAACUGUGACCCUCUUCAUUGGCUAUAACCCUUCAGCCCCCUGGGCCUAACAAUGACCAGCUGCCCCCCCCAUGUCCUCUGAUGCCCCAGCCCCUGCCCGCUGCCCGCCCAGGAGCUGGCGUGGGAGGCGCCAGCAGGAGGCGGUAAGGAG